ACACCUCCGCAGGCUGGCCGGGCUGGGGGAGUAUCUCCUCGAAAGGCUCACCCUCAAGCACGACUAGGAGC
rnacentral:pre_miRNA from 1 species